rnacentral:misc_RNA from 1 species
UUUUGAAACUGAAAAGCUUUUUCUUUUAUUCAUUGAUAACAGAAUAAGGGAAUAAUAUAACAACAACAAUUAAUAUUAAUAAAUAAAUAAUUAAACAAAAUCACUAGCAAAUGUCAAUAGAAAAGGAGCUAUACGCAAGUCCAAUCAUAUGCUUUCCUAUCCAAUUUUUUUCUUACACAAACUUCAGGAAUCAGGAUGAAGGGUUAUAUAUUUUAGCAGCAGCAGAAGAAGAAGGGCAUCACUUGUGUUUACAUCCCUUUUUGUGAGCUCUUUCUUGAUAGACUUCAUAUGGGUAGUAAAAAUAAAUAACAGUAGUGUUAGAUGUGCCUCCAUGGUCUUUCUGCAAGGCUUACACAUUCACCAUACCUAAAACAAUCCACAAGAUGAUCAAUUGUCAAUCCUGCUGCUUGCAUGAAUGAGUACACUAUCACCGGACCGACGAACCGGAACCCUCUUUUCAGAAGAUCCCUGCUGAUAGCCUCUGCUUUUGGAGACCUUAGUGGAACAUUUCUUGGAUAUUUGUAUCUGUUGAUCACUGGUUUGUAAUUCAUAUACCCCCACAUGUAGCUGCUAAAUGAUCCAAAUUCCAUCGAAAUCUACAAUGUUUUAACCAUAAUCAAAAUUUAAGUUACCAACUUAUGUUUUAACCAUAAUCAAAUUUCUAAUCAAAACUAUCAGUGGGCAGUGAACAUCAAGCAUUUAAACUUGCCUUCACUAUGCAUUUGGCAUUGUCUAUUAUGCACCUUACUCUGCUUUCAGCCAACAUGAUCGCCUUGUUGGAAGCUAUCUCUGUGAUUUCUUUCUCUUCCAUUUUGGCAACAAUAUUAGGAUCGAAUCCAGCAAAAGCUUCUCUGUGGAUUUAUACGAUAAUAAUCAGGAAAGCAAACCUCCUCAAGCCUUAAAAUAACAAAUAAAGAAACAUAUCAUCUAAUUAAUUAGGGUGGUCCUCCAAAGAAAGAAAGAAAGAAAAAUUACCUGAAUAGUUCUUUUCUUUUUACAAUUUCAGUCCAAUUGUAGUCCAUCAACAUCCCAGACAUGGCAAGCAGCUCGAACAAUUGGCUGUGUUUAUAAUUAUAAUUAUUGGAUUAAAAUAACUUAACAAUAAAAGUUGGUAUACCACUUUAUAAUUAUUAGUAGGUAAAGCCCUUGAUUCUUCUUAUUAUUAGAUAUAAUACACAGCUAGUCACUUACUUAUCGUCGUAGACUGGAACUCCCCAGCUUUCAUCAUGAAAGGUGACAUAGACUUUAUCACUAUUCUUUGUAAUCCAGUUGCACCUCUUCAACUCUCCACCAUUAGACUCCUGAUUACUUUGCUGCUGCUGCUGCUGCUGUUGAUGGACAUUCUUAGAGACAGCAGGGACUUCUCUUCUUUCCGGUGGUGUGAUUAGGCGAAGAGCUAACGAUAUCUUCUGUUCAAGUGGAGUGGAAUAAUCUGUAAGAGAAGAGUCAUUUGAGUUCUGUGACAAAGAUAAAGAUACUGAUGAAAGGGAUAAUGAAGAAUUGCUCCUAUGCAGGCCAAUUGGGUAAACUCUCUUGAGGUGUUUAGAGAAAAAGCCUUGGCUACUUGGCUUCUCUUUUUCUUUGAUGAAAAUGUUGUUCUUCUCCAGAAUGUUCUUCUCAAGAACUUGUUUUCUUACUAUAGUUGCUUUAGACAUUGGUAGAGUUGUGUGUGUGAGAAUGACUUGAAUUGGGCAGAUAGAGAAAAGGUGAGAUGGAUCAUGGAGGAUGAAAGAUUUGUGUAUAAAGGUUGGGGUUUUAAAAAGUGUGGGAAGAGGUCCAAAAGUGCUGCAC